rnacentral:snRNA from 1 species
GUGCUCGCUUCGGCAGCACAUAUACUAAAACUGGAACAAUACAGAGAAGAUCAGCACGGCCCCUGUGCAAGGAUGACACGCAAAUUCAUGAAGCAUUCCAUACUUUU